UCAUCGAUCGCACAGACACUCCGGUGAAAAAAAAUUUCGAUGAGACCGACCAUUCUCCGGUGACCAAUUUAGACGAUAUCAAAGACUCUCCGGUGACCAAUUCAGACGAUAUCAAAGACACUCUGCUGACCAAAUCCAAUUACUGCUGAAAUCAACGACGGUAAAAGUAGACCGUACGGCGUUCAUCCGGCAAAUCCCCCCCCCCCCCCCCCGCUCGAACCAUCAAGCCAUGGAGGAGACUCAUCUCUUCCUCUUCCGGAGAUUCAUCAUCUAGCUGCGGACUCAUUUUGCGGUGGUCCGAUUCGCGUGUCAACGGAGCUGCAAGCAGGAGACAGUCAAGAGCGAGAAAGAAAAACCUGAGAAGGAUCUGUGUGACGGAUUAAGUCAACUCAGAGACAAAGAAUCAAUUGGGACUAUCGGUGAUGAUAUGGAGGAUGUACAUGACGAGGCGACACGAGAAAUACUAGCUAAUGAUCAAGUUGAAGAUGUUCGAGAAAAUUCACCAGUGGAGCCAAAUGAUCAAGAUGUAAGAGAGGUGAAGAAGCCAGAUAGGCAAGGAAGAUAUUGCAAGUGUGGUUGUGCCUGUUGUUGAAGUUGCAGUAGAAAACAGCGAGGUGGAAAUAUCUCCUGACUUGACUGCAUCAUCAGACCCUUCAUUGGUGGAGCCAUCUCCACCAUCGGAUCCUUCAGCUGCCAAAGGUCAAGUUCUAUCACCGUUAGAGCAGAAAUCCGACUCUCGGGUGGUUAACAACGUGUCGGUAUCUCCGGUUCUGAAGACAGAUAAGGGAAAGGAAGAUGUUGUAAGUGCGGCUGUGCCUGUUGAUGAAGUUGCAGUAGAAAACUGUGAAGUGGAAACAUCUCCUGCCGUGUCUAAAUCUCUACCUCCGAAUCCUUCAGCUGCCAAAGGUCAAGGUCUAUCACUGCUAGAGCAGAAAUCUGACUCUCCGGUUGUUAACAACGUGUCGGUUCCUCCUGUUCCGAAGACAGAUUUCGUUUUUCAGAAGUCUCUUUAAAGUUCCAUUUCUGAGAUUGUAAUUAUAAUUUUGAUUACGAAAUUGUUUCCACUAAACUGCAAUCAAACUCACAAAUCGUUAUUACCUAUUAUUAGUAGUAUUACCA